AUGACUCAGUCCGACCCUGGUUUCCGUCGCGUCGACAUCCGAAAAUUCGAUCCGGUGCACUUUCGAGUUAUCACAAUGAGAUGAACUCUGAGAUGUCUUCAAAUAGCCGCCGUGAGGGCGGGGGCGAAGCCCCCAACACUACCGCCGCCAGUGAAUCAACCCUUUUGGCCCCAACUUCGACAUACUUCGCCGAUGAGAAGGUCCAAAUCCCGGAAACGGACACGUCCGGUUUCAGUUUCAGGAAAUUAUGGGCUUUCACCGGGCCCGGAUUCCUCAUGUCUAUUGCUUAUCUCGACCCCGGGAACAUCGAAAGUGACCUCCAGAGCGGCACCGUGGCCCAAUAUAAACUCCUAUGGGUGCUGUUGAGUGCCACCAUGCUGGGGCUCCUCAUGCAAAGACUCUCCGCGCGGCUGGGGGUCGUCACGGGGCUGCAUCUCGCUGAAAUGUGUUUCAGGCAAUAUCGAAAAAUCCCGCGCCUCAUUCUUUGGAUUAUGAUCGAAAUUGCGAUCAUUGGGUCUGAUAUGCAGGAAGUGAUCGGGACAGCAAUCGCAAUUUAUUUAUUAUCGAAUAAAACGAUACCACUUUGGAUCGGUGUUUUGAUCACAAUUGUGGACACGGUCACGUUCCUGUUUUUGGACAAGUAUGGCUUGAGGAAGCUGGAGAUGUUUUUCGGGUUUUUGAUCACAAUAAUGGGGAUCACGUUCGGGUUUGAGUACAUAACCUCAAAACCGGAUCAAUUGCAGGUGCUAGAGGGGAUGUUUGUUCCCUGGUGCGAGAACUGCGACUCUAGGGCUUUGCUCCAAGCAGUUGGGAUAGUCGGUGCUGUGAUUAUGCCCCACAAUUUAUAUUUGCACUCAGCCCUCGUAAAAUCGCGCGAAAUCGAUCGAACAAAACCGGAAAAGAUCCGCGACGCAAAUUUAUACUUUUUCGUUGAAGCAACAAUUGCCCUCUUUGUCAGUUUCAUAAUAAAUGUAUUCGUCGUUGCCGUUUUCGCUCAUGGACUUUUCCACAAAACGAACAAAGAAGUUCAUACAUUAUGUACAAAAUACCCAUCAGUAAAUGCGUCGAUUUUUCCCAUUAAUGACGAUUACGUCGAUGCUGAUUUAUACAAAGGGGGGAUUUUUCUGGGUUGCACUUAUGGUCUCGCUGCAAUGUAUAUAUGGGCGGUUGGGAUUCUCGCCGCUGGUCAAAGUUCAACAAUGACGGGGACCUACGCUGGGCAGUUUACCAUGGAAGGGUUUUUGAACCUGCAAUGGGCUCGAUGGAAGAGAGUUUUGUUCACGAGGACCAUUGCGAUUGUGCCGACGUUUUGUCUUGCCUUCUUCAGUCACAUCGAGGAUUUGACUGGGAUGAACGACUUGCUCAACGCCAUCAUGAGCCUCCAACUACCCUUCGCAACAAUCCCAACCAUCGCCUUUACCAGCAAUCCUCAAAUCAUGGGCGAAUUCGUCAAUGGAUGGUUUAACAAAAUCGCUUCAAUUCUACUCAGCGUAUUGGUAAUUGGGAUUAAUACGUAUUUCGUGGUUGAGACAAUGAACGAGUUGCACCUCCAUUGGUAUGCACUUGUUUUCGUCAUCAUAAUCGGGAUUUUCUAUUUGAUUUUUUGCGCUUAUCUCGUAAUCCACAUGGCCAUAAGUAUGGGAAAUACGAAUCUGUUACGCUAUAAUCUAGUCAAGAGAUACAUUAUGGCCCCCAUUGAGUCGCAAUUAUCCGUCAAUCCCAUCAGUUAUUCAAGAGAGCGCUUGAUUGAGACUACUUAAAAUGGAGAAUUGCUGGGGAUGUCUUAAAGAAACGUGAUAAUAUACUAAUCAGUGGUGUUAAGUUUUAAACUGUCACAAUCAGAUUGGACUUUGGACGGUAAUAUGACGGAAGUUCCGAGGUUUUGACGUCAAUUUUAGUUAAUUUGUAGACUUUUGAUAAUGUGUGAUAUUUGUAAUUUGUAACAGUUAUGUUAUGUAACGAAAUAUAUUUUAUUAGGAUUUUUCAAACUUUAAAA